UCCUGGCUUAGGACGAACGCUGGCGGCGUGCCUAACACAUGCAAGUCGAACGGACGAGGGGAGCUUGCUCCCCGAGUUAGUGGCGGACGGGUGAGUAACACGUGAGCAACCUGCCCUUCGGAGGGGGACAACAGUUGGAAACGACUGCUAAUACCGCAUAACGUAUUUUGGAGGCAUCUCCGGGAUACCAAAGAUUUAUCGCCGAAGGAUGGGCUCGCGUCUGAUUAGAUAGUUGGCGGGCAACGGCCCACCAAGUCGACGAUCAGUAGCCGGACUGAGAGGUUGAACGGCCACAGUUGGGACUGAGAUACCGGCCCAGACCUCCGUACGGGAGGCAGCAGGUGGGGAAUUAGUUGGGCAAAGUGGGGGCAACCCUGACCCAGCAACGCCGCGGAGGAAGAAGGCUUUCGGGUUGUAAACUCCUUUGACGAGGGACGAUAAUGACGGUACCUCGAAAACAAGCCACGGCUAACUACGUGCCAGCCGCGGC
rnacentral:rRNA from 1 species